GCUGUCCUAGAACUCACUUUGUAGACUUGGAAAUCCGCCUGCCUCUGCCUCCCUGGUGCUGGGAUUAAAGGCAAGGCCUCUUUUUAGUAUGGGCGGUAUUGGCUCACUCAAAACAGUAAAAUCAGGGUUAAAAUUAGAGCUGAAAGUCUCAGUGACUGAUCUAGAUAAUCAUAUCAGGAGGCAGUCAGUGUGUUAGAUAAGUACUUUGAAGAAUAGUAGUAAACCAGGUAGUGUUUUAUUAGCUCCUUUCAUCUUACAACAUUUGUGAGGUAAAUUGUCAGUAACUUUUUUGUAGAUGAGACCAAAGUUCAGAACUAUAAAGGUAAUUAGGGAAGGAAUGUGCUUGUGAACAUGGGCACUAAUCAGUUGUGUCCAUGAAUGUGAGCACUUGUACUGUUGGGCCUUUAGUUGGGGUUCUUUAAAUGAUCACAACUGAUACAGUAAACUUUUAUAUAUUAAAAAGGAGAUUUAUUAGACUGGCUUACCAGAUGUGGUCUGGAUACUCUAGCAAUGGCUGUGUCAUACUAGAAAGGUCAAGGAUCUGGUAGUUAAGUCUAUGAGGCUGGAUGCUCUUAGAGUCCUGGAGGAUUCCCAGAGAGAAGGUCUUCAGUCUAUUGAAAUACUAAUAACUAAUACUAAAAAAAAUACUGUGAAGCCAGGCAGUGUUGGCGCACACCUUUGAUCCUAGCACUUGGGAAGCAGAGGCAGGUAGAUUUCCGAGUUCAAGGCCAGCCUGGUCUACAGAGUGAGUUCUGAAGUAGUUUCGUUGACCCCCACUUUCAAGUUUUGGAGUGUCUAUGGAGUGUCUAACUACUGUAGACCUAUGAUGCAGGAGUGGUCCGUCUUUUAUUAGGUUAGUUAAACUCUUUGAGUUUACACUCUGGAGGUGGGGUGGGGUCGUACUUUUUCAGAAAGUUCUGAAGAGAAGGGAUACCAGCCAGAACUGAUGAAAACUCUGUCAAUUGGCAAUUGGAGUUCCAGAUAACACAGCCGCAUUGUUCUCCUAUCCCUUGUCAAAGUUUAGUAUAUGUGCUGUCCAAGCAAGUACUGGUGGUGGUUUAAGUGAAUGUAGCCUACCAUAGACUCAUAUUUAAAUGCUUGGUUCCUAGUUGGUGUAACUGUUUGGGAAUGAUUAGCAUUAGACAUCCCUUGUUUGGAAGAUGUGUGUCACCAUUGGUGGGAAAGCCCACACCAUUCCUAGUUAGAUAAGAUGUAAGCUUUCAGUUACUUUUCCAAUUACCCACCUGCCUACUGCUAUGCACCCUACUGUGAUGGUCAUGGGCUGGCCAUCUGAAACUAUAAGCAAGUCCCCAGGUAAAUGAAUAUUUUUUUUUGUAAGUUGCCUUGGUUAUGGUAUCUUAUCACAGCAGCAGAAAAGUAACCAAGGCUGCAAUGACUUCUGUACUGACUAAGGGGCUGGAGUGAUACCCAGACCAGCUUGGCUACAAAGGUGCUGGUACAUCUGGGGACCUUGAGAAUAAUGGGCACACAGUACCAUCUCUGAACUGGUAGUACAACCUGUGACUUCUGGCUGCACCAUGGCAUGAAUGUGCCUUUCAGGCACCUGUCUGUGGUCUUUGAGCACAAGCUGCUGUUAACUAUUAGGUCAGAGGGUGUUUGUGGUAAAUAAGCAAGACCAAGGUUGGGAGCCAGUAGAAGGCACUGGCAGAAGACGUGGACUGCCUCUGUGUUCUUGCAGCUGGAACUGGGCUUGUGCUCACUGCCUUCUCACCCCAUUCCAAGGCACAAAGGCUUAGGAAUGUCAGCACUAAAGGAAACUGUGGCAAGGGGAUCCCCUUCUUUCUCCUCUCCUGCAUAAUCAACACCAGUCCAGCCUUUCAGAAAAUAAGUAACUAAGACAAACUCCUUCCUUAAUUUAUUACAUUCAUUUUUUCCAUUUUUAAAAUUUAUAUUAGGAAAAUAACAAAAGCUUAUGCAAAAAGAAAGAAUAAUUCACACCCAUCGCCUAGCUUCAGUAGUUUAAGAAGUCUUGGUUUGUUGUUUAUUCUCAAAACAGGGUUUCCUACUACAUAUUUUGGCUGUCCUGGACCCUGCUAUGUAGAUAAGGCUGGUCUUGAACUCAGAAAUCCUCCUGCCUCUGCCUCCCAAGUGAGAUAUCUUAGAGGGAUUACUAUAUGGAGAAACUAAGUUGUAGGGUAAUACAUGAAAGGUGUGGAAGAGAAAAAGGAAAGUAGAUUCCAAAUAUUUUGAAUUUCUGGAAAAAUACACAAGCUAGUACUAUUGGCUGCUUUGCAGGAAUUGAAGAUCUAGAUGUCUAAGGAAUUAUAGGGGGAGAACUUCUGUUUUUCUCUUCUGUGAUUAUAUGAACUACAUGUAUUAUCUAUUAUUCAGCAGGAUCCAGUGAUUGUAUGCAAGGAAAAAAACAUACAAUCAGAAAAAGGGAGAGAAGACUUGUGUUAGAUUUUAAUUGGACCUGCCAUUGUGAGCUGAUUUCUUCUUUUUUAAUAAAAAUUUCCCGAGGAGGCGGAAAACCAUUGGAACUUGAUCAUUGUGCUUGACUCUAGGACCAGAUACUGCUUCAGUAUCCAUUUCUGAAGUAUUUAGAUAUAAUUCAUAAUGUUUUAAUGACCAAGAAGUUAUUAUUAUUAUUUUUUUAAAGAUUUAUUUAUUUACUAUAUGUAAGUACACUGUAGUUGUCUUCAGACACACCAAAAGAGGGCAUUACGGAUGGUUGUGAGCUACCAUAUGGUUGCUGGGAUUUGAACUCAGGACCUUUGGAAGAGCAAUUAGUGCUCUUAACCGCUGAGCCAUCUCACUGGCCCCAACCAAGAAAUUAUAUGUGAACACAACUGUUACUUAAAAAUGAAGACAGGGUUAUACUUUGCUUUGUCUUAAAUUUGACUGGAGAUGGAGAGGUAGUUAAAUUUUCUUUGCAAUUCUUAAAAAUGUAUUUAUUUUUAUGUCUAUGAGUACUAUAUCUGCAUGUACACCUGCAUGUCAGAAGGAGGCGUCAUCACAUAAAUAGUUGUGAGCCACCCUGUGGUUGCUGGGAAUUAAACUCACACCUCUGGAAAAUCAGCCAGUGCUUUUAACCGCUGAGUCAUCUGUCCAGCCAUCCUUCAUAAUUCUUAAAAUCUGAUUACACUGUUUAUGGUUUAGAAAUAAUGAAAGUUUAGAUACUGAAAUUCAUAGUUUUAUUACUUACCAGUUUCAUUUUAAGGUAGUUAAGAAAGCUUUAAUAUUCUAAAGUAUCUACCAAAGUUGUGUUAUUUGGGGUAUAGAUGAGGUUAAUAUAUACAGUUGAUUGUUACAGUUAACAUCUGAUUACGGAACUGGAGACUUUUAGUUGAAAAAACAUUAAAGAACUGCUCUUAGGGGCUGGAGAGAUGACUGCAUUUAAGAAGUUACUCUUCCUGGGUUGGCUUUCCAGCACUGGAACCAGGAGACUCACAGCCUAUUCCAGGGGUUCUGGCACCCUCUUCUGAAGGUUCUAAUACAUACCACACACACCAUAAAUAAAAAAUACUUCUUUAAAAGACUUGUUUAUUUUAUGUAUAUGAAUACACUGUAGCUGUACAGAUGGUUGUGAGAUUUUCUGUCAGUAGUGUGUUUCUUAAUGAAUUUUAGUCAAGUGACAGAAACUGGAAAAUGUUUGAACAUUUGUUUUGUUUAUUUUCAAGGUUCCUCUUCAGGUACCUGCUUAGUUAAUUCUGUAUGAAGUAAGUGUAAGUUCUAUAGUUAGCAGUGUAUCUUGUUUUCUUUGUCCUUGUUUGUUUGUUUGUUUUCUUUUCAAUUUUAUGUAUGUGAGUACACUGUAGCUGUCUUCAGACCCACCAGAAGAAGGCUUUGGAUCCCAUUACAGACAGUUGUGAGCCACCAUGUGGUUGCUGGGAAUUGAACUCAGGACCUCUGGAAGAGCAGUCAGUGCUCUUAACCACUGAGCCAUCUCUCCAGCCCUAGCAUAUCUUGUUAACUAAAUAGUAAUCACUUCUGAAUGAAGCUAGGAUAAAUUUAUUUUGAUGAGUGCUGUAGACUAUCACUUCUGAAUGCAAGUGGAUUACUUCAGUAAGACUGUUAUUGUUAUUUUUCUAGUUCUUUUUCUAAGACAUGGGAGCAAAAAAAUAAAAGGAAACAAUAACUAAUGUACAUUUGCUUCAGGGCUGUUUCUUGGCAGACUCGUUUUUAGUUUGUAGCUUCUGUGGUGUUGUGUUCCUGUUACUCCCUCCCGUCUUGUUUUUCUGAGUGUUUUCUGAUGCUUGCACCCUUCCUCCCUUCUUGUCAUUUUGAUCUAGAAUAGUGGUUCUCGGUCUGUGUCUGUGUUACCCUGCAUAUCAGGUAUUUACAUUACAAUUCAAACAGGAAAUCACAAUCAUGGAGUAGCAAAGAAAUAAUUUUAUGGUUGGGGUAAGCACAGCAUGAGGAAGUGUAGUAAAGAGUUGAAGUGUUAGGAAACUACACUACACAAUAAUUACUACUACUACUAAUAGGAAAACCUUUGUUUGUUUCUUGUUUUUUGUUUUGUUUUGUUUUUUUUGUUUUUUUGUUUUUUUGUUUUUUGAGACAGGGUUUCUCUGUGUAGCCCUGGCUGUCCUGGAACUCACUCUGUAGACCAGGCUGGCCUCGAAUUUAGAAAUCUGCCUGCUUCUGCCUCCCAAGUGCUGGGAUUAAAGGCGUGCACCACCACUGCCCAGCUGGAAAACUUAACUAUACAUGCUAAAUUAUUUACUUCUUCCCUUCUGAGUUCUUACUAGUACUCUUAUCCAGAGAUUUUUUUUUUUUCCUUCAAGGAGCCAGUUGGCGGCCUCCCCAAGCCCCACCUAUAUGAAGUUGUUAAAAAUAAUUAAGAAGUUACUACAAGCUAAAUUAUACAACCAGGUUGAUUAUUGUUGUCUUUACUCAGGCUGGUCUUGAACUCAUAUUUGAGCCCUGGGAUUAAAGGCGUGAGAUACUGCCACCUGGCAAAGCUGUAUAUCAUAAGAAAUUAUAGCCUAUCUAUUUUGUAUUAGUAGCUAGUAUCUAGUAUUGAUAAUUUGAUAUAGCCCUGAUCAUUUUUGUACGGAAUGAAACAAAAUCCUUGAAUAUCUUUGAAUUUGAUUUAAAGUAUUUGACUCUACUACUGAUAGUGUAUGGGAAGUACCCUUUGUUUCCUUCUCAGAAAGCUAGUAGGGUCAACAGAGAACCAUGACCCUGGCUGAAAUAGAAGUAACAUAUGUCAAUUUGUAAAAGCCCAGCAUUGUAAACUGCAUGUAAUGGCAGUGUGAAAAAGAAUUGUCAAAGUUGAUAGAUUUUAUAAAAGAAAAGUUAGUUUUUUUUAUUGGCUGUGUGGUAACUAAUGGCAGCAGGUGGUUGAUUGAUAGUUCCUGGAAUAUUGGAAAGCAAGUAUGCCUCAAGGUGUUUGUAAUAAUAGUCCUGGCAACAGAGCCAUGAGUAUUGUCCAUAUUUGACACAAGUAAUUCAGAAAGGACUGUUAGAAUGGAAAUUUCUUUCUUCUCGGCUCUUUACCUCAAGUCCUUACUCAGUGGAAAUCAAAUUUAUCUUAGCCUCUUCUACCACAAUUGUAUCGCAAAAUAAAAGCAACAAAAGCAGGGGCUUCAAAACCCACCCUCUCCCUCUGUCUCUUGUCUUCCUGUCACAGGGUCUCUAUGUAGCCCUGUCUGGCCUGAGAUUGGGUGCUGGGAUUAAAGGCAUGCUCCACCAUGCCUUUAGCUUAGACUAAUUUAAGUUAUUUGCAUGCCUAUGACUGCAAGUAGUAUGGUCACCAGAACUGGCACCUUUUCAGAGAUCCUUUGGGUACCUUACUGACUCUCUUGGGAAAACAAAGGGAGAAGCUUUGCAUGGAAGUCCCUUAGUAGCUGGGCAGGUAUUUAUCUCAGAUACACUGCUUCUGUUUUUAAAAUAGCAUGAUAUCCUAAGGUUAUAGGGAGUUUCUUUGAUUCACUUUAAGUAGCUACUAAUAUUGUACUGGUGGGGGCUGGAGAAAUGGCUCAGCAGUUAAGAACAUCUGCUCUUCCAGAGGACCCAGAUUUACUUUAUACCCAUAUGACAGCUCAUGGCUGUCUGUAACUCCAGUUCCAGGGGAUCUGCUACCCACCACUGCACAUAAAUCAUUAAAAGUAUUGGUGAAGAUGACCUCAAGUUAUUUAUUUGUUUAUUUGGUUUUUCGAGACAGCGUUUCACUGUAUAGCUCUGGUUGUCCUGGAACUCACUUUGUAGACCAGGCUAGCUUCAAACUCAGAAAUCCGCCUGCCUCUGCCUCCUGAGUGCUGGGAUUAAAGGCAUGCACCACUGCCCAGCUUGAGCUCAAGUUCUUAAAAUCUGGUCUUUGGACACCAUUUUUCAGUUCCAUGUGUGGUGUACAGAAAUAGCACUUAUUUUUAGUCUGGUCUUUAUAGAGUUUGGGAAUGACCUUUGGUGAACGCUUUGCUAUAUUCCUGACUCAGCAACUUUCUAACUUGAACAUAGUUUUCAUGCUUGCCACUUCCAUAAAAUAAAACUUUUGACAUUAUAUUAUAUAAUUUUGUGGCUUUUGAUUUUAUUAGAUUUAUCCCCAGCCCAGGUUUUUGAAGAUAGUUUAAGAAUGUAAUGUUGCCAGGCGUGGUGGCGCACGCCUUUGAUCCCAGCAGAGGCAGAGUGGAUUUCUGAGUUCGAGGCCAGCCUGGUCUACAAAGUGAGUUCCAGGACAGCCAGGGCUAUACAGAGAAACCCUGUCUCAAAAAACCAAAAAAAAAAAAAAAAAAAAAAAGAAUGUAACGUUAAUUUUGUUUUUCUUUUUAAAGAUUUAUUUUAUGUAUUUGAGUGUUUUACCUGCAUAAGUGCACCAUAUGCAUGGCUAGUACCACAAAAUGUCAGAAGAGGGCAACAGACCCCUGGGUUAGAUAGUUAUAAAACACCAUGUAAGUGCUAGGAAUUGAAUCCAGAUUGUCUGUAUAAACAAGUGGCUCUUAACCACUGAGCCAUCUCUACAUCCUCAUAAAUUUUUUAAAUUUAAAUAAUUUCGGUCCUUUUUUUUUCCUCAUUUCUAUCAAUCUGACACAGUGGUUGCAUUUUGUUGGGCAAUUUUCAUUAGAUCUUUUCCCCACAUGUUAUUUGAGAUCUGGUAAAUAGAUCUUUUUCUUCAAUAUUAGAUUUAUUUGAAUUUAACAGUCUUAUUCUGGGUUACUUUCCAGACUUCCCAGAUUGUAUCAUAGUUGGCACUUUAUUUAUAGCUUGUUCACAGAUAGUUUAAGAAUUCAAACAUGAACUUCUGUUUGUUCAGCUCCUCAAAAUGAACUGAGGCAGAGGAGUUAGUUACUGUUUUCUGAGUUCUUAGCAUGUGACACUAUUCUAGGCUUUGACUUCUUUUGAUUGGUUUUAUUCCCAGAGAAUGCUUAUUAUGAAGGUGUUGAGACUAUAAUAUUUUUAUAAGAAGUAAAUUUUUAAUUCUUUUAUAUCAAAUACAAUUUUUUUAAAGCAUAAAAUAAACACUUCUGUUUAGGUCACUAGUUUAAGUGCAGAUACCAUUGUAUGAAAUGGGAGAUAAGACAAAUGUGGUGACAUACAUCUGUAUAUAAUCCCUUGGGGGGCUAGAACAUGAGGAACAAGUAAAUAAACAAUAUAACCACAUUUUAAAAUAAUUAGGCUCAUCGGAAGACAGUUGUGUAGCUCAGUAGAAUAGCUCCUGUCUACAGAACACAUGCAACAUUGUGUACCAGUUUGGUCCGCAGCAGCACUUUAAUACAGCUAUUCAAUUUAGAUCCAGUUGAUGUAAACGAUGUAAAAGUCACACUCUGAUUGCUGUACACAUGUCUUAAGUCUAGUCUGCAGAUCCUGUGCUUAAUCUUUCUUUAGAUGGACACUUGUCUGCCAAGGAUACUUAGGAGAAAUGCCAUUCUAAGCCAUAAUGAUUUAUCUGUGCUGUCCAUAUGGUUAUCCCUCAUACUUGAUGCCUUAAACAUUUUGUGUUUUUGCCUAAAAAUAACCCCAUAUCUUAGUGCAUUCUUGUCCCCUCUUCCCUGUAUUUUAAGCUGAGGGGGAAUGUCUUACUGUGUUGUAUAGGCUCUAUAAAGGCUGGUCUCAAACUUUUGGGAUCUGGUGACUAGCCUCUUAAGAACUGGGACUACAGAUAUGCCCAGGUUAACUCACAUAUUCCUUUCCUUAAAAAAGGGGGAUCCCAGCACUUGGGAGGCAGAGGCAGGCAGAUUUCUGAGUUCGAGACCAGCCUGGUCUACAAAGUGAGUUCAGGUACAGCCAGGGCUAUACAGAGAAACCCUGUCUCGGAAAAAAACAAUAAUAAUAAUAAUAAAGGGGGAAGGUGUAAUGUUCAUUUAAUUUUAUUAUGCCAUCUUCAUAUUUGCAUACCAUGUGUUUUGAUGAUAUUCACCAGUCCAUACCACCUUCACUUGUCUCCUUCCAUUCGUCCUCUUCUUCUAAUUGUCCCCCCUUUAAAAAAAAAAAAAAACCUUAAUUAUUUGUAUAUAGAGCUUUGUGCAUGCGAGUGAAGGUGCUCAAGUCCAGAGACAUUAAAUUUCCCUGGAGGUAGAGUUAGUUCUAAACUGCCUGAUGUGGGUGGGUGCCGGCACCUGAUCUCUAGUCCUAUGUGAAAGCAUUGUGUGUGUUCUUAACUGCUGGGCCAUCAGCAUCCCUGCAAGUGCACCCCACACUCUCCCACAACCGCAUGAUUUUUGUUUUGUUUGAUGAUCCAGUGAGCUUCAUUGGGGUUGCUUGAAUGCCUUACCAGUAUCUACUCCUCUGAAGAAAGUAUCUCUCCCCUUAGUAGCUAUUAACUAUCUACAGAUCCUUGGGAAUUGGGGCUUUAUGAGUCUCUCCCCCAAUUGUUAAUUGUUUAUAAAUAAGAAAGGGAUAAGACCCCAUAAGUCCCUUCCCCUAUCCAUAACAAGAUAUUGAUGGUAUCUUAUCUUAUACAAGAUCUUAUACAGGUGAAACCAGCAUUUCACAACACCACCACCCUAUCCUCUGGCUUCUACCUUCUUCAUACCGCCAUCUGUCAUAUUCCCUGAGCUUUGGAGUGAGUGAUGUAAAUAUUGUUUAUAGAUGAACAUUUAACUCACUUAUUCUCAGUACUUUGACCAGUUUUGAUUCUGUACCCCUGGUGAUAGCAGUAAUACUGUAUGAAAAUAAAAGUAAUUAUUUGGAAGGCAGUUUGACAGGUACAUCAUGUCCUUUUAUCAGAACAGCUAUAGCUUCCUCACUAGGUCCUGUGACUUCACCAGCUAUAGGAUAUGGACCAGGUUUAUAGCACCAGAUAAAUGACUCCCCUACUGUGGAGCUAGACUUAAUUCUUUGGUUACUCCUGUAGUAGAUGUAACACUAGAGCGGCAGUGGGGACUCUUGCCCUGCUGUCCAGUGGCAUAGCAGGCAGGGAGCAUCCUUGAGUAAUACUGGUGGAUGACAGUUUUCUCUUCAGUCAGCAUAGCCCUUUUAACACUGAAAACCAGACAGGUGCAAAUAUUUCCAGCCCAGCUCUAUGUGUGCUACCUGGGUUCUGUUGCCUUGAUAAAACACCAAUUAAAAAUUUCCUUUGGGGGUGGGGUGGGGGUACUGGAGAGAUGGCUCAGCAGUUAAGAGUACUGACUGCUCUGAGUUCAAAUCCCAGCAACCAAACCACAUGAUGGCUCACAACCAUCCCUAAUGAGAUCUGACGUCCUCUUGUGUGUCUGAAGAUAGCUACAAUGUACUUAUAUAUAACAAAUAAAAUAAAUCUUUAAAAAAGAAAAACAACAACAACUUUCUGUGGGGAGGAAAAGGUUUCCUUCUGCUUAAAACUCCCAGAUCACACUCCAUCAGGGCCGGAACUCAGGGAAUGAACUCAGAGGCAGGAAGUGGAGCAGAGACCAUAGAGGGACACUGAUAAUUGGCUUACUUUUCAUAAUUUGCUCUAUUUGAUUUUUUAAUAUAACCCCUCACUACCUGGCUAGGGUUGGUACUGCCCCUAGUGAGCCAGGCCCUACCACAUCAAUCAUUAAGAUUGCCCCACAGGCAUUCAUAGAGUACAAAUUAUUGGAGGCGUUUUCUCAUUUGAGGUUCCUCUUCCCUGUUGUCCCAAAAAAAAAAAAAAAAAAAAAAAAACAAAACUGACUGGAGCAUUUACUAUCUCUAGCAGUAGGGUCUUACUCUCUAGUGCUGAGGGUAUCCAAUUCCAGUAACAGCAGUGAUAGAAUAGUGGUUUGAAAGCUCUAUGAGUAGGGAGGUGCCUCAUCCAUCUCUGGUUCUGGAUGGAGUUUUUAGGUAAUAACCUAUGGGUUUUUGGGGAGCAGCUUUAUCCACUCAUACAAGGUGCCUCUUCAGGUUUCUUCAUAUCACUUUGAGCUUGACCCUCUUCUACCUGCUUCCUUCCUCUAUCUCCCUGCCUGUCCUCAGAUCACCUUCCCCUGCCACCUUUCCUAACCUAGAGGCUAUCUCAGGGCCAGGUUUUUAAGAUUUAUUUUAUUAUGUACGUGAGUACUCUGUCGCUUUCUUCAGACAAAGCAGAAGAGGGCAUCAUCAGAUCCUAUCACAGAUGGUUGUGAAUCGCCAUGUAGUUGCUGGGAAUUGAACUCAGGACCUCUGGACGAGCAGUCAGUGUUUGUUCUUAACCACUGAGCCAUCUCUCCAGCCCCUCCCCCCCCUUAAAAGCUAACUUUUAUAGCAUCUCAUUCAUUCAUCUUUCAAAACGUGAGGGUGCAUAGUUCAUGAUGUGCUUACCUUAAGACUGAGCACUUCUUGAGGGCAGCAUGAACCUUAUUUCAGGCUUUUUAAUGUGUUUACGCAAACACAGGUUUAUGGCACCGAACUAAGCAGGUAUCAGUUAAUAUUGGGUAAA